rnacentral:rRNA from 1 species
GGCCGGGUGUGGAAGUGCGGUAACGCAUGAAGCUAACCGGUCCUAAUCACUCUCAU